rnacentral:lncRNA from 1 species
AGAAAGGCUCAGGAACUUGAUCUUUAGAAGUUGGUUUAUUACAUAUGUCAGACUAGGAGUCGCAUUAGGCUCUUCUUGGUUGGAAUUUUGAUUUUUGAUGUAAUUUUAUUUUUGAUAAAUUUUUGCCUGUAAUAAUCUUGUAAUAACAUUUUGGGGUUAGCUAGUGAAUAAAAGGUGGGAAAUUAUGCAUGCAAGGGGUAGAUAUCAUGACUAUAGGGAAUUACUAUCUCCAAAACUCUGAUAGUUUUUUAAUUUCUGUAUCUCGUCUAGAUAUUAUGAUUAAGGAUUACUAUUUUGCUCAAGUUAUGCAUUUUACAAAUAACUGAAACUCUUCAUUCUCAUAUAGACACUAUGGAUAACAAUUCUUGAGUUUUAGGGGAAAAAAACGAUAAAAUGCUCUCGGCGCAGUAUAGCAUUUCGAUAGAACAGUAACCGUCAAUUCGGCGCACAAUAGCAAGACUGCAAUUUGUG